AUUUUGAUUUCACAAAAUAUGAUAUGAUAUUUUUCCCAAUCUUUUCAAAUAGACAGUACUUUUUGGUGUGCUUUUCCUUUAAGACUGGUAUUGCGGACGUGCUAGACAUUGUCGUGCCUGAGAACGGUAUUCCAGAUGCGAGCAAAUAUGCGACAGACCUGGGUCUACUUCGGAAUUUUCUUGGCUACUAUCUCGAGUCAAAAGGACUGAACGCAAUGUGUGAGGUAAUAAUGAAAGAGCAG